UACAGAGGUCUCAAGCGUUGUUCGGAUUCAUUGGGCGUAAAGGGUGCGUAGGCGGCGGGGCAAGUCAGGUGUGAAAUCUCGGGGCUCAACCCCGAAACUGCACUUGAUACUGCCUUGCUCGAGUACUGGAGAGGAGAUUGGAAUUUACGGUGUAGCAGUGAAAUGCGUAGAUAUCGUAAGGAAGACCAGUGGCGAAGGCGAAUCUCUGGACAGUUACUGACACUGAGGCACGAAGGCCAGGGGAGCAAACGGG
rnacentral:rRNA from 1 species